GCCAUUCAGGCAGAGAAAGCAGAGACGGGAAAGACUGUGUACAGCUGGGGAGACCUGCUGUCAGAUGCUCUGAAGGAGGAGGAAGAGGAGGACCAGGCAGAUUGUGUUGUACGUAAACCACAGAAGGAACAAGCUUUGGUGAAUUCUCACCCAAAGAGGACCUCUAUUUUUGCCUAGUUGUUCUUUUGUUUUUUCCAUCUAAGCAUUUUAUCACUGAGUUUGUUAGAGGAGUUUGUUUGAUUAUCUAAAUACUAUCAUGGGGCAUUCAAAUUAAAAUCUGUGAUUAAUUCUGUUCAUUAUGGAAAA